GAUCAUUACAGUGCCAGCGGGAGCGUCGCGGCCGUCCCCCCCAACCCGGGGGGCCGUGUUCGAUCGGCGCCCUGCGACCGGCCCCACACUUGUCUACAGACCGCGUUGCCUCGGCGGGCCCGCCGCUUAGUCGGCCGCCGGGGGGGACUAAAUCUCCCCCCUGGUCAGCGCCCGCCGGAGGACCGAUCGAAAUAUCUUUUUUUAACGAGUUGCAGUCUGAGCGAUAAUCGCAAAUGAAUCAAAACUUUCAACAAUGGAUCUCUUGGUUCCGGCAUCGAUGAAGAACGCAGCGAAAUGCGAUAAGUAAUGUGAAUUGCAGAAUUCCGUGAAUCAUCGAAUCUUUGAACGCACAUUGCGCCCUCUGGUAUUCCGGGGGGCAUGCCUGUCCGAGCGUCAUUGCAACCCUCAAGCACGGCUUGUGUUAUGGGCUUCCCGUCCCGCUAUCUCAGUGGACGAGCCCGAAAUGCAGUGAUCGCCGCCGCGAUACCGGCGCCCGAGCGAAUGGGAAUUUACACCAAAGCUCAGUGGGCCCGGCCGGCAGUUUCGGUCCUACAACCAUUUUUUUCUAAGGUUGACCUCGGAUCAGGUAGGGAUACCCGCUGAACUUAAGCAUAUC
rnacentral:misc_RNA from 1 species